rnacentral:lncRNA from 1 species
UUGAGUACAAGGUACAUGAAGUCUUCAAUCAACAAACUCAAGUCAAUGCCUAGCUGGUUUCAUUAGAAUUAUCCAUCAAAUUGCUACUUCCCUUUGACAGAUCACACCUUCUCCAAAUUCAUUAUUUGAGAGCUUCUUUGAUUCUUUUUAAGUCUUUUUUUUUGUUUCCUAUCGGGUAUCCGGUAACUGCAUUGGAGUCCGACUAAUCCAGAUUCGAGCCGGGUAACGCCCCAUUCGGGGGUAGCGCUCCCUAUCAAGGAUUUUUUCAUACUUAGGACUCGAACCCGAGACCUCUAAUUAAGGAAGGAGCAGCGCCAUCCACUGCACCACAUUCCUUGAUGGUAAUUCUUUUAAGUCAUCAUCAUUUGAAUUUAGUAAUUGGUAUGUUCCUUAUGCUUUCCAAAGGGUGGAUUGCCUUUGUGUCAACAUGACAUAAUAUUAGCUAAUUACAUAAAGUGAGGUUUAUGUGUAGAUUUAGACUUUUAGUCACUCAAUGCUCACUAGCAUUGCUUGUCGUUGAGGUCUGUCAAAAAUAAUUUUUUUACCUUCUCAUGGUAGGGACCGAGAAGGUAUGCAUCAGCCAAGAGCAUUAGAUUAUAGUUAUACCCAUAGUCAAGUCAAUGUCUGCUUGUAACAUGUAGUCAAGUCAAUGUCUGCUUUUGAUAUAUCAUUCUUUAAUUUGCAUUAUUUCCUUUCAUUUUCCAAUCCGUCUUUCAGUAACUUCAUUUCAGUUUUUAAUUUCUAUAAAUCAUUAAGGGUCGUUUAGUAGAGUGUAUAAGAAUAAUGUAAAAUAUGGUGUAUUAAUAAUAUUUGUAUUAGUAAUGUUUGUGUUAGUUAUGCUUGUAUUUUUCUUAUGCAGUGUUUGGUUCGAUGUAUUAAAAAAAAUAUGAAUUACAUAAUUUUUUAUUUUUUUUACAUAAUACCCUCAAUAUAUAUAUUGGA